GAUGAACGCUGGCGGCGUGCCUAAUACAUGCAAGUCGAGCGAACAGACGAGGAUCUUGCUCCUCUGACGUUAGCGGCGGACGGGUGAGUAACACGUGGAUACCCUCCCUAUAAGACUGGGAUAACUUCGGGAAACCGGCGCUUAUACCGGAUAAUAUCUUGAACCGCAUGGUUCAAUAGUAAAAGACGGUUUUGCUGGCACUUAUAGAUGGAUCCGCGCCGCAUUAGCUAGUUGGUAAGGUAACGGCUUAACAAGGCAACGAUGCGUAGCCGACCUGAGAGGGUGAUCGGCCACACUGGAACUGAGACACGGUCCAGACUCCUACGGGAGGCAGCAGUAGGGAAUCUUCCGCAAUGGGCGAAAGCCUGACGGAGCAACGCCGCGUGAGUGAUGAAGGUCUUCGGAUCGUAAAACUCUGUUAUUAGGGAAGAACAAAUGUGUAAGUAACUAUGCACGUCUUGACGGUACCUAAUCAGAAAGCCACGGCUAACUACGUG
rnacentral:rRNA from 1 species